rnacentral:misc_RNA from 1 species
GUGAAUCAUCAAAUCUUUGAACGCAAAUUGCACUCCCUGGUAUUCCGGGGAGUAUGCCUGUUUGAGGGUCGUUAGAAUAAAAAAUCGAUGCGUCGCUCUUUUUUUUAGGGGUGACAGCGUAGGAAUUGAGCCGUCUUUCAAAUGUUAUUUCAUGUCAAAGUGGCUUAAAUUUCUUCAACC